rnacentral:rRNA from 1 species
CAGCCGCCACGGGAAUACGUAGGGUGCGAGCGUUAAUCGGAAUUACUGGGCGUAAAGGGCUCGCAGGCGGUUUCUUAAGUCUGAUGUGAAAGCCCCCGGCUCAACCGGGGAGGGUCAUUGGAAACUGGGAAACUUGAGUGCAGAAGAGGAGAGUGGAAUUCCACGUGUAGCGGUGAAAUGCGUAGAGAUGUGGAGGAACACCAGUGGCGAAGGCGACUCUUUGGUCUGUAACUGACGCUGAGGAGCGAAAGCGUGGGGAGCGAACAGGAUUAGAUACCCCGGUAGUCCCUGUCUCUUAUAC